AUUGAACGCUAGCGGCAGGCCUUACACAUGCAAGUCGAACGAGUGGCGGACGGGUGAGUAAUAUAUGGGAAACUGCCCAGUAGAGGGGGAUAACUACUCGAAAGGGUGGCUAAUACCGCAUAUCAUUGGAGCGGCCGAUAUCGGAUUAGCUAGUUGGUGGGGUAAAGGCUCACCAAGGCGACGAUCCGUAGCUGGUUUGAGAGGACGACCAUCCACACUGGAGCUGAGACACGGCCCAGACUCCUACGGGAGGCAGCAGUGGGGAAUUUUGCACAAUGGGGGAAAGCCUGAUGCAGCCAUCCCGCGUGUAUGAGAAGGCCUUCGGGUUGUAAAGUACUUUUGGCAGAGAAGCGGUAUCUGCAGAAUAAGCACCGGCUAACUCCGUGCCAGCAGCCGCGGUAAUAC
rnacentral:rRNA from 1 species